AUUGAACGCUGGCGGCAUGCUUUACACAUGCAAGUCGAACGGCAGCGCGGGCUUCGGCCUGGCGGCGAGUGGCGAACGGGUGAGUAAUGCAUCGGAACGUGCCCAGUAGUGGGGGAUAGCCCGGCGAAAGCCGGAUUAAUACCGCAUACGACCUGAGGGUGAAAGCGGGGGACCGAAAGGCCUCGCGCUAUUGGAGCGGCCGAUGUCGGAUUAGCUAGUUGGUGGGGUAAAGGCUUACCAAGGCGACGAUCCGUAGCUGGUCUGAGAGGACGACCAGCCACACUGGGACUGAGACACGGCCCAGACUCCUACGGGAGGCAGCAGUGGGGAAUUUUGGACAAUGGGGGCAACCCUGAUCCGGCCAUGCCGCGUGCGUGAAGAAGGCCUUCGGGUUGUAAACCGCUUUUGUUCGGGAAGAAAUCCUCUGGGCUAAUACCCCGGGGGGAUGACGGUACCGGAAGAAUAAGCACCGGCUAACUACGUG
rnacentral:rRNA from 1 species